UACGUAGGUGGCAAGCGUUAUCCGGAAUAAUUGGGCGUAAAGAGUGAGCAGGCGGUCGACGAAGUCUUUAGUGAAAAGCAGUGGCUUAACCAUUGUUAGCUAAAGAAACUGGUCAACUAGAGUGAGGUAGAGGUUAGUGGAAUUCCAUGUGUAGCGGUGAAAUGCGUAGAUAUAUGGAGGAACACCAGUGGCGAAGGCGACUAACUGGACCUUAACUGACGCUGAGUCACGAAAGCGUGGGGAGCAAAUAGG
rnacentral:rRNA from 1 species